GUGGGCGGGAGAGAGGGGCGGCUUAGCUUCUGAUUGGUGCACUUCCUUUGAUGGAUGGCCCCAGCCGUCCAAAGAGGGCUGGCCUGGGAGGGAAGAAGUCCAGCCAAUCGGCACACACUUCCCAUUAUCCCGGAGCCAAAUUCUCCGCCCCCUGAGGCCACGCCCCUUGCCUCUCAGCUUCUCUCCGUGGAGAGUUUCCUAAAGUGUUUUCAACCAAGAGGUGGUCCAACUAAGUGGUGUACGCGCUCUGUCCCGGUUAAGUGCAGCAAGAACCAAAGCUCAGAAUAAUGGCCUUGAGGUUGGGCAAGAAUCCCAGGCAGUCACAGGAAGAUUUAAUCAUAUUCUCUACAUUGUAGACUGCAGAAGUGCCUUUGAGCAACAAAAGUUAUAACAAACAACAGGAGGACAAACAUUUCUCUCCAUGCACCUGUGCAAUGAAAUCAGGCGAGUGGCAAUCCCAGGACAGGAGCCAUGGAACUCAGAGCCACCGCUCAGCCUCUCAGUCGCGUGGUCCCAGCAGCGGCAGACACGGGGAGGGCGGCCUGGCCUCCCGGGGUGGGAGUGAGGGGCCAGGUGCCGCAGGAAGUGAGGGGCGCGGCACUGCCCGGUGCUGGUGGGAGAGUGUGGGGAAGGGGGUGGGGAGCCAAGCGCCCGGGUGGGCCCCGACCACAGGGAGCAGCACGGUGGCAUCAGCUGUCCCAUCAGAGCUACCCUGGGGGCCGGAAUCAGGCUGCGCUGGGAGGAAGAGCCCAUGGCAGAAGAGGAGCACAUGCUGACUGCCUUCCUCCUGCGCACGGAGCUCCUGGUGACCCAGCUGCACCUGGCAAGGGAAAGAGCGCUCCCGAGAUCUGAUGAAGACCGUCUGCUACUAGAUGCCUGAGUGCUUGCACAUCAGCUUGACUUACCAGAGGAUAUUUUCUUAACAAUUGCAUUAAAAAAAAAUCAAAUGGACCAGUGAAGUGUUUUCAAAGGAGUAGUCCUUGAAAAGGGACUCUUUUGGGAAUAGCAUGGCAGGUUAGGAGAUCUCCUGCACCCUAGCAUUUGGUCCAGUUGACAUAGACUGUUGAGUGCAGGGCUCAAAGCCAAGAUCAGCUAGUAAUAAAAAGGGUUUGUAUUUGUUAUAUGCUUCCCAUGUGGCAGGGUGUGUAUUGAAUUUAAACCCAUAUGAUCUUACUUAGUUCUCUAACAAUUCUGAUAUUAUUAUUAUUAUUAUUAUUAUAUUAUUAUUAUUCAGAAGUGAGGGAUAUCCUGUAUACUUCUUAUUUGGUAGCUACCAUUUACUGUUUAAUGAAUAUAGAUUAUACAUAACUUGAAUUUGGAUAUUAUUGCAUUAAAAAUAGCUUUUAUUUUGGAAUAUUUCAGACUCAUUAGUCAGCUUCAGUAGCUAUCAACAUUUUGAUCAUGUUGCCUAUUUACUUUUUGUUUGUCUGAACAUUCAACAAGUAUUUACUGAGGACUUUGAAGGUGCCAGACCAUUGUAUUUUGUAGUCCUAGACUAAAAAUAUAACUUUUGGGCCACAGGGUGGGUUGGUUAUUGUUCUCUGUGAAGAUAAGAAGUUGGAAGGAUAAACUGGAUCAUUGUCAUCCAGGUGCAUUUCUUUAGUCUGAAGUCCAUGCUGGAGGAUUCUCUGUGGUCUGCUGCUUUAGUAGGACAAGGUGGGGAUGGGGAGGGGAUAGCAAUUCCCUUCCUUAUAAAGGUUUCUGCCUAGGCUGCUACCCAUUCUUCCCAAAAGCGCAUGCACAUAUACCUUCACAUCUACACAAAAGGUUUUGACAGAGUUGAGAUUUGGAAAAUGAAGCAUUACAUUUUCUGAUCUUGCUCUUUUGUCCAGUUGCAUUGUACUAGAAUAACGUUAUGUCAUAGGUCAGAACUUCUGUUCUCUAUGUUAGCCUUAAACUGGUCAGGGCCUUCCUUGCUUCAUGUCACCAUGUUCCUCAUUUCUUUAGCUUCUUCACUCUAACUCCUGAACUGAGUUUUGAAAGGUUUAGCCAACUGAAGAGGCUGGUACAAAGGGCAUUCCAGACAAAAGUAGCAAUACGUGGAAAGGUACAGAGGAAAGAGAGAGUGACAACUCACUCCACAAAUGGAAUAGAGUUUACUCUGGCUAAAGGUUGGAGGGUGUUGAGGGUGUGUCUACCAAUGAGAUGGAGGAGAAAAGCACUGUUUAUCCUAAAGAGCCAUGUAGACCAUGUAUACCAUUCUUGGAUUUUUUGGACUUUAUUCUACAGGUUUUAGAGAACCAGCCAUGGAACUUAAAGAGAUUGUCACAAUUGGAUUGUGAUUUAGAAUGACCCCUGGGCAUCAGCAUGAGGGCUGAAGAGAGGGCCAAGAGUGGAGUUCAGAAGAGUAGUUGAGAGACCAUUGCCUUAACCUAGGAAAAGAAGUGACAAGAUUGAAGCAAGGUAGAAUCAGCAAUCAGCAUUAUUAUUUUCCAAACACUGCCUUCAGCUAGACUCUGGAUCGCCUUCUCCAACUCAGAAGAUAUCUUCAGCAGAUGUCACAUACUUUUAGGCCUUUCUGUAUCUCCUGCCAGAAAUGUCAUUAGUCACAUGUUUGAAAUAGACAAUGUCACACCAAGUUAAAGCAGCAAGGGAGAAGAAGAAAUUCUCAGCACAUUUUGUACAAAGCAUCCAAAAAACGGACUAGGA